UAGGGGAUUUUAGUUUAGCAAUUUUUUUAAUUGAAAAGUUUUUAUUUAAAAGAGGAAGAAGGUGCUUUUUUAAAUUGGAUUAUUUUUAUUUAAUAAGACUUUUUAAAACUAUGUACUAGUCCUACAAGGGGACUUUAAUAAAGUGCUCUUUUGAUCCCUUGUAUAAUACAUUGCAUUGCUGAUGCAAUGUAUUAUUCUGUUAGUGCUAUACUAACUUCCACCAGCGGGGUGCGCCAGAGAGGCAUGGCCUGCUAGGAAUACACUGAAGGCAGACCUGGGCCUUCCUUAGGCCCUAGGCUGCCAUGCCAAGACAUCGGCACCCUGCAAUUUCAUUUGUGGGGUGCCGACGGGAGACAGAGGUAGUCCACUCCCUCUGUAACUGUUUAGAUGCUGCAGUCACUAUUGACUGCGGCAUUUAAGGGGUUAAACAUCCCGGAUCAAUGCUUCUGCCGGGCAGUUAGAGCAGAAGCCCAGCUCUCAUGUGAGAGCCGAGCCCCCGCUGUCCGCUGCACGGGAGACCCCUGCAGCGCUUAGACUGGGCCUCUGUAAAACGGCGGCAGUCUAGCCUUAGGCCCCUUAGUGACCACCAUAAAAAGGUGUAUUGGUUGUCACUAAGGGGUUAACCUGUAUGCAGUGAGUAUUAUUGUCAGAGUUUGUGGGUCAGAUUAUUGUUAUGUUGCGAUAUUCCGAGAUGAUAUCUGUGUUUUGCACAAUUUCCAGGUAAUACGGUAUACCUUAUAGAUGUAUGUUGUUUUUUAUUAUCUUGAGACGGUUUGAAAAAUUCAGCAGGAAAACUAGCGCAGAAAAAACUGAUGAUGUGAUGAUCACAUUGCUGCUUUUCUAGCCUUCCUUAAAACAUGAGAGCUGGAAUGUGAUUGGUUUCCCAUAGAGAAGAGCAUAACCUGCCA